rnacentral:snoRNA from 10 species
UUAGGGAUAUGACGAAAAACUUAUUCCAGAGGUUGUUUCUGAGGGUAGAUCUCUUCUGCCUGUGAUUAAACCUUGCACGUCAGUCCGAUCCCAUU